AUGAUGUAUUUAAUGGCCGCGGUAUUUUGACCGUGCAAAGGUAGCAUAAUCAUUAGUCUAUUAAUUGUGGACUUGUAUGAAUGGUUUGACGAAGUAUUGACUGUCUCUUUAGUAAUAUUAUAAUUUAAAUUUUUAGUUAAAAUGCUGGGAUUAAUGUUUAUGGGACGAGAAGACCCUAUAGAUCUUUAUAAUUUAAUUUAUUAUUAUUUUUGGUUUGUUUUUAUUGAUUUAUUGAAUUAUUUUGUUGGGGUGACUUGGAGAUAUAAUUAACUCUUUAUAUUUAUAGACAUUGAUUUUUGAUUUAUUGACCUUUUAAUAUUGUUAUAAGAUGUAGAUACCUUAGGGAUAACAGCGUAAUUUUUCUUGAGAGUUCAUAUCGACAGAUUAAGUUUGCGACCUCGAUGUUGGAUUAAGAUUAUAAUUGGGUGUAGAUGCUUAAUUAUUAGGUCUGUUCGACCUUUAAAUUCUUACAUGAUCUGAGU
rnacentral:rRNA from 1 species